AAACAAGAACAGAAUCCUUCGACUCAAGGGUGAGAAAUAGCAGUUACUUUUUUAUUUUUAAGAUACUUUUGAUUUAUCUAUCAUUCUGUGUUAUGCAUAAAUAUAUUGAUAUUAACACGAUGUGCAUCUACAAAUCUAUUUUUCUUUUGUCUUCUGGAUUUUUGCCAACUGAAUAGAUUUUAUGCCAACCCAAGAACUGCAGACGAGUGGCUGGAACUAUGCUGAACAUUUGUAAAAACUAUUUGUUGGAGAUAUUUUCUCUCGCAAAAAUUGCUAUUGUUUAUGAAUAGAAAUGUAUCCCUUAACUGAUAAUUCCAUUUAUUCUUCUAAAUAUAGUUUUAUGGCUGAAUAAAUAAAGCAAAACUAAUGCGAGAUUUGUUUAAUUAUUAUAUAAGUAUGCUUACAUAAAGAUUUGAUAAUUAUUUUAAACAGUUAAUAUAGAGACAACACUGUGUGUGUCUUUUCCACCAUACAUUGUUGUGUAUAGGAAAACAAAUCUAAAAUAAACAUUUUACUUUUUUCUGGAAAGAUCAGUUUGGUUUAAUGCACAGAACGGUAAUUUGAAAAACAAAUUUUAUGCUAAAUUAUGCAGUUUGGAGAAUUUUUAUCAAAUUAGCUGAUUGAUCUAAACCUUUCAGUGCAGUUUCCAAUUCCCUAGAAUUCAAUGCUUAGUGAGUAAAUCCCUACGUGUUUCUGCUUAAAAUUAUAUCACAGUCACAUUCAAGCCAUUCAUUUUUACCUCCCCAUUUCUCAUACGUUUUAUCAGUAUAGAUAAGAUAAGGGCAGGCUUAAACUGUAUCAAAAUUGGUUGGUCAGUUGAGAUGUAAGCAGUAAUGAAUGGACAUUGUAUCCGUUAAAAUGGAUACUUUUAUUUCCUGCUGUAAAAUUGUGAUUCUCUAUAGUGUCUUUGUUAGCUGUGUGGCUAAUAAAAGCAUGGCUGGUCUUCAAUUUGUAUCAGGGGAGAGACUUUUCCUGUGGAAAAUGAGCUUUAAAUCUGCUAUUUUUCUUAUAAAAUAAGGAAAAUAAAAAGUGUUUGUCACUAAAGUACACUAAAGCACACUGUCACUAAAGUAAAGCUAAAUACGGUAUGAAUCUGUUUAUUAUUAAGAUAUAUAGAUAGACAGACAGAUAGACAGACAGAUGUAUUUAUAGAUAGAUAGACAGAUAGAUUUAUAGAUAGAUAGAUAGAUAGAUUUAUAGAUAGAUAGAUAUAUCUAUAGAUAGAUAGAUAGAUAGAUAGAUAGACAUAUAUAUUUAUAGAUAGAUAGAUAGAUAGAUAGAUAGAUUUUAAGUCUGUCUGUAUGCAUCUGUCCAUAUGUCUGUCAAUCUAAGCACUGCUUCUACGACUUGGUAACUGUAAGGAAAAACAAAAUAUAUUGAGACAAAAUAAUAAGGAAUAAAAUCAAAUAUUAUUCCUGAUGAUACCCACUAUCUUUUACACAAAACAUCUUUUAAUUUCACAAAACACCCCUAUGCAAAGUUAAGCUAUCUAAAUUUGAAGGGAAAUGAUUUCAGUUUCUACAAUUCUAUAUUAUCUGGUCCUAUAUGUUCAAACUGUCGGUCCUGUUCCAGCUCUUAGGACGCAUGCAAACAAUCCUGGAAUAACAUUUACCUGUUUCUAAAUAAAUAAAAUAAAGGGGAAGUUUACAGACAGUGUCUGGUGUUCUAUUUGAUGACACACGACAGCCCCACAGUAGUGUAAUAAAAAUGUGAAAACAAACACAAAAAGCACAUAAAUCACCUCCCUAAAUUGGCACAAAUUGCCCCCCGUCAUCACAUCAAACCAACAGACAGCAACAGAAAUGAAGAAAAAGGUAUGGGAAUUUCCCCUUAUAUAACCAAGAGUAUUAAUCCUGUCUUUAGCAGCAAAGUAUGCUAGUGAGCAUAGAAUAAAAUGGAAAACAUGCAAAAAUUGACUUUAACCAGCCCGGAACUCUGGCUAAUGAAGCCCCAAUGAUGCUGCAGGAGGUGGAGUUACGCCUCCAGCAGGAAAUAGGUUAAACUCGGUAUGUGUAGCAGAUCAUACUGAAAUACUAGACAUACAGACGGCAGGCACCAUGACCACUUCAAAUCACUGAAGUGGUCAUGGUGCUCGGGAAUAGCCAUAUAACUGCAUCAUGUGUUAUGAGUGUGGUGGUCGGUUCCAGUCUGCAGUGGCUCUUUAAAUUUGAGACAACUCCUACAAAAAAGCACAACAAAAGCUUAGAAAGUAACAAAUAUUUGAAAUAAUUUCAAGGUAAAUGUCACUCACAAUAUUUUCCUUGCCAUCUCCAAUUUUAUUCCAUCUAAAAUUCAACUUCAUCUAUCUCUCCGUUACAUCAGUAUAAAAUGGCAGAUAUGCCAGAAAUUAGUUUCUAAUACAAAAAGAAGAUGUUUCUAUGAAAGAGUUAAUUUCUUGUUCAUAUCUAUAGCUACAAAAUCUAACGCGAUAACACGAUUAUUUUGUAUCUAAUGCAGUUGCUAGUGGUUUUGUUUCUUAAAUAAACAUUUGUACGUUACUCUUACUAAAAUGUGAUAAAUGUAAGUAUUUAAUCCUUCAUGGAACAUAUUAGUUUGAUAAAUCUGCCGUUAAAAUGUAUAAUAUUUAUGAUAAUUUUCUAAAAGACUAAAUACUGCGUUUUUGUUCAUACCAAGCAGCAGAAGUAGUUUGUGUCAUGACGCUGACUAGAACAGAAUAUUUUUUAUGUUAAGUGUGUUUACCAAGCAGACACGACACAUAAUAUACUGUUUGGACUUUCCCACUAACAACCGAUCUAGCUGUGUGCCUUUGCCAAAUUUGGUUAGUUAUUUGGCCAAAAAUAAAUAAAUAGAUUUUUGCUUCAAAAUUAUGUUUACGUUUUGAGUAGUCUUUCAAAUAUAAUACUGAAGGUAAAUAAACAUUCUACGUAAAGUAGAGACAACUGUUUUUGUAGAUCCCUGCUUGCAUUCUUUCACAUGUGGCUAGCUGAGGAUUAUGACAGUUGUAGUCCAUUGUUAUAAGUGCCCAAAAACUUCCCUUUUUCUACUGCCUAUACACAUACAAAAUAUAAAUCACUGAUUAGUAGAUAUACCCUCAUUGGAAACAUGUCUGCAUUUAAUUAUCCAUUAUUUUAUCGGGGAGUAUCUAAAAAUAGCUUGCAAAAGCUGCAGAUCUGUUGACUGGAGCCUUUGUAAGCCUCCCUUCUAAUCCAGCCCAGGCUGUCCAAUCACAGACUUUCCCAAGCAGCUCUAUGAGAAUUCUUUGCAAGGCAGGUGCUUGGAUCAAAUACCUGUCUCUUGAGUUUAGCUCCACUGAGUUAAGAAAACCAGGAAGUAAAAGGACCAGUUGUUUGAUCGACAGCCUGGGGGUGUAUAUCACGAGUUUCAAUUAACCUAUCCAAUAUUUAGAUUAUGUACUUACGUACCGUACUACUUAUUUAUAUGGUUUAGUAUUGUUAAAAUUGUAGCUACUGCAGCCCUGCAAAAUUGUAUUUCCAUAUACAAAGGAACACUCCAUGCACCAUAAACACUACAUCAUGGUAUCCGGCGUGCCCUGGUUGCCACCCUGAUGCAAGUAGUCAAACAGUUUGCUAACUUAGUGCCUGCCUCUCCUCUUUUGGUAUGGAAAGCCAGAAGCUCCUGCUAAGAGUUUUUCUUUUAAACGUUUCAUAAAUUUAUUUUAUUAAACAUGAAGAGAUAAUUAGUUUUUGCUUUCUGGAGUCAAGUUAAAGGGACAUUCCAGACCCCGAAAGCACUUCAUUUAAUGCCAGCCAGAACUGAAGCAGAUGUACACGAUAAAUAUGGUUUGCUGCUCGAGAGAAAUCAUCCGCUGGAUGUGCAUUAGAAGCACACUUAUUGGCCUUUUAAAAAAAAAAAAUUGAUUAACCCUGUUAGUUAGUAAAGUAGAGACAAAUAAAAAGCCUAUGGGGGCACUAUAACCCUCACAUUAGUACAAGGGAGGUUUCACAUCACUCAACAUGGCAGGAACAUGACUGCUAGCGAGCAGUCAGUGGCUUGUGGCUCUAAUAAAAUAACUUGUGACUAGCCAGCUAUUGCUUUUAACAGACAGGGGGUUUCUUCUCUCAUCAGUGUGUAUUAAGUAGGGGCUUGAAAUUAAAGAACGGGGAUUGGACAGAUCCCUGUCCAACCUCUGUAGCUCACCAUUGGCCAACAGGUGGGGGCUUCUACUUUAAAAAAGCGGGGAUCCGUCCUUGUGUCCCCCACUGUCCGAAUUAAAUGGAGAGACUUAGUGCACACGCCCCCUCCCCCCCCCACCCCCCCACUUGUCCCAACAGGGACCUAAUUUCCCCUUUCAGUCCCCACCCAUAAGCAGCCAGUUGGGGCUAUAAUAAUAUUAGUAAUUACCCACCACCAUUUUUAAAUGUAUAGCCUGAUACCCACAUGAGGGGGCACUUGGGGAACUGUACCAUAUCACCUUGUAUGUUAAAAGUUACCGGGCAGCAAUCCCUGUUUAGAGGACAUGCCCCCAAUCUGGGCAUACCAAGUGGGGCAUGGAAAGCUUUAUAACCUCCCUUGUACUAAUAUGAGGGUCAUAUUGACCCCAUAGUUGUUGUUUUUUUGUCAAUCUUUCUUUUAUUAUGAAAUGGGGUACAGAAUAAAUAGUAGGGAAUGCACAUUUUUCUACAGAUUGGGAGCAUGUUAACACACUGUAACAUCUCCUAUGAGUGUCAGCCUCAUUUUAUAGUAAUUAGGUGUAUCACAGUUGUACUAACAAGUUAAACGGAUCAGUAAUAAAAGUAAUGAAGCGUUGUAAACACAGGCUUAAAGUAUAUGCUGUAAAACUGUUAUAAAUUUUGCAGUAUAACUAAUUGCUUUUCUGUCUCGGUGAAGGUUAGAUUCGGGUUAAUGCAUAACUGAACAUUCUAUUCGUGAGACUCGUGUUUACAGUGGCUUUUCGGCCUAGCAUAGAUAGGGUGACUGAGAAAUUAAGGCAGACCAACAUGGUGUGCUUGUCAUGAGCAGGCUACGUUUCAGAGGUCAUUUUACGUGAAUGCAAUAAAAUAUAAUAGGUGCUAGGCCUAACCGACAAAAAGACAACAAUAAGACUAAAAAAUAUCUACACGUGGUAGGCUGUCUCCUGACCCACCAGCUUUAUGUGGUGGAAAAUUUAUGCCAGUGGGCAGUGUGGUGAGCUUAUCUGUGGGUGAGAGUCCAGCAAGGAGAGCCCAUGUGGGCUGUUCAGGCUAGGUCCCCAGUUGCCCUCGGCUGACAGUGUUGUUGGUGGGACUGCCAGUUCGAGGGGCUGGUUCAGCCUAUACCUCUGCUGGGUGGAUCACAGCGCGGGAUGGUAGAGUGGAUAGGGUGGCACUAUCAUUCUGGAAAAUCCACAAGGGUGCGGCAUGGUGCGAGUUGGCGACGGCCGUCCUCCGGCCCCAGGUCAUUAUGAAGGCCUGUACCCGUGAUCCACCGACUCGGUUACUCAGAGAGGCCGGGUCUUCUCUUCGUCGGGCGCCAAGUGGGGCUUGGGUGUUAUGCCGCCGCCAGCGGCGGGCAAGCCUCCAGUGAUGUGGUCGGUGUUUCGGAGUUUGACUCCUUGUGGUCUUCGGUCUGGAAAGGCAUUGUGGACGGCCCACCGUAGCAGCCUCCUGUAGGUGAUGGGGGCAUUGGUUUGUUUGUAAGUACCGCUCCUUCGCCGCUGUGGGUGAAGCUAUAGGCCUUGAGGUAAGUCUUUGGGCCUGACUGGAUUCUUGCGGACUGAGCUUGGUAUCCCGGCUUGAGUUCGUAACGCCAUCUGCGUGUGGGGUCGCGGCUCUUCCCUCCUGCUCUCUGUCUUAGUUUGGAGCGUUUUACCCCUCUGCCAUGCUGGGGUUCAUUUUAUCACAGGUUGCUUGUUUAAUUGCAGCGGGUCAGGCUGUCGUUUGUGUGGGAGGCCUGCAGUUGGGUGGGCCUGGGCUGGAUGGUACAUCUUUACCUUCAGUUUGCGCCAAAAGUCUUGAAAAAUUCUCUCCAACCUGGACUCACAUCCCAGCUUGUCCACUGCUGUGCCGGGUGCCCACGUGGCCUUUGCUCCCUCUUCCUCCGUUCGGCCAUAUUGGUCACCUGUAUUUGAGUAGGGACCAGAUCUGUGCUGCAUGUGGUGGACUGGGAUGUCCCCCCGGCCCUGUGGGGGGAAGCUGGACUCUGUGUGGUCUUGCUGGCAGUAGAGGCAAGGGACGGGAGGCUGGCCGUUCCCCCGCCCGAUGCCCCCGCUAGGCCGCAACCGCUCCGCACGGUUGUUGAUGGUGGUCAUCUUGGCUUUCUGCAUCGGGACACUCCAGCCGUCAUCUGCGGUAGGUGAGUCUCUGUUUGGGAUGAUUUUUGUGCAGCAGGAGCCCCAGCAAGUCGCUUGGGAAUUCAGGUUAUUUUGGAGCUCCCUCAGAUUGCGUCCGUCCGCCAUGCCAGUCAGGCCCCCCCCAUAGUUUUUUUUUUUUAACUAUUUGCUAGUUGGCAUUUAUCUUUUAGUUCUCAAAUCCCAUAAGCCCAUUUGAUGGUCGCCAUGCUACUGUUAACUGUAAUUGAAUUACCAAAGUGUAUAUUUUCAAUGUAAGAUAUAGGCUUCAAAUUCAUUAUUUGGAAUAACAUUUAUCAUUUUGUGAUAUACCUUUAAAGGAACACUGUAGCUUAAGGAAUAUAAACCUGAACGCCUAUCACUAUAAUGUUCUAUUUUGCCUUCAUCUUAAGCCCCCCCAAAUGUAAAUGAAAAAAAUAGAACAAUUGUUUUAUUCACCUUUUUUUCCAGCACCGAGAUCCAAUCCUUGCAGCCGCUCGAUCCACCUCCCGUGACGCCAUGCGGACUUUUUUGCCCAAUGCUCCUCAUAGAGGGCGAAAAGCACAUGUGCACUCAGUGCCCCUCCAAUGAAAUAGAGGUGAACUGUGAGAACCAAUUUUGACUUGAUUCUCACAGGGGAUGUGCCAUCAUAGGG